rnacentral:rRNA from 1 species
AUUGAACGCUGGCGGCAGGCCUAACACAUGCAAGUCGGGCGGAUGAAGGGAGCUUGCUCCUGGAUUCAGCGGCGGACGGGUGAGUAAUGCCUAGGAAUCUGCCUGGUAGUGGGGGAUAACGUCCGGAAACGGGCGCUAAUACCGCAUACGUCCUGAGGGAGAAAGUGGGGAUCUUCGGACCUCACGCUAUCAGAUGGGCCUAGGUCGGAUUAGCUAGUUGGUGGGGUAAAGGCCUACCAAGGCGACGAUCCGUAACUGGUCUGAGAGGAUGAUCAGUCACACUGGAACUGAGACACGGUCCAGACUCCUACGGGAGGCAGCAGUGGGGAAUAUUGGACAAUGGGCGAAAGCCUGAUCCAGCCAUGCCGCGUGUGUGAAGAAGGUCUUCGGAUUGUAAAGCACUUUAAGUUGGGAGGAAGGGCAGUAAGUUAAUACCUUGCUGUUUUGACGUUACCAACAGAAUAAGCACCGGCUAACUUCGUG